rnacentral:rRNA from 1 species
GACGGAGGGGGCAAGCGUUGCUCGGAAUCACUGGGCGUAAAGCGUACGCAGGCGGCUUUGCAAGACAGGUGUGAAAUCCCCGGGCCUAACCUGGGAACUGCAUUUGUGACUGCAUGGCUAGAGUUUGUCAGAGGGGGGCGGAAUUCCACGUGUAGCAGUGAAAUGCGUAGAUAUGUGGAGGAACACCGAUGGCGAAGGCAGCCCCCUGGGAUGUGACUGACGCUCAUGUACGAAAGCGUGGGGAGCAAACAGG